CAAAUUAAAGCUUAAAAAGCAUUUCAUUUACAUUGAAAAGGUAUUGUUUAUUCAAUUAAUUUGA
rnacentral:tRNA from 1 species